rnacentral:tRNA from 1 species
UGAGGUAUAGCCAAAUUAGGUAAGGCUCUCGCUUUUGGUGCGAGGAUUUAUAGGUUCAAAUCCUAUUACCUCAA